UACAGAGGUCUCAAGCGUUGUUCGGAUUCAUUGGGCGUAAAGGGUGCGUAGGCGGGGCGGUAAGUCGGGUGUGAAAUCUCGGAGCUUAACUCCGAAACUGCAUUCGAUACUGCCGUGCUUGAGGACUGGAGAGGAGACUGGAAUUUACGGUGUAGCGGUGAAAUGCGUAGAUAUCGUAAGGAAGACCAGUGGCGAAGGCGGGUCUCUGGACAGUUCCUGACGCUGAGGCACGAAGGCCAGGGGAGCAAACGGG
rnacentral:rRNA from 1 species